ACAAAGGGAGUUUCAAGGGUUCACCAUCUCUCGGGUCAGAAUGUCAUUACCUAAAUCUCAGCAAAGGCCUGCAAUCUCCCCUUGGCAAACAGCCAGUCUGGGCUGGCAGGAGGCAUCCCUGUCCAUGGCAGGGGGUUGAAAGUAGACUAGAUCUUUAAUGUUCCUUUCAACACAAACCAUUCCACGAGUCUAUGAUGCUACGAUUCCAUGAUUCUGUGAUUCUACAAUUCCACAAUUCUACUGGCAGUGGACAACUGGUUCUCUAACUGCAACACAAGUUACAUCUGAAAUGCAGCCAUGCACCUAUUUUUUCCCCAAGCCAAGUGAUUUAUUUUUUCCAUAUCCACCUUGGACUGCUAUCUGAAUUUCUGGAAGCUAUAAACUACCACAGAUAUGAUUUUGGUCAUAUAAGUAAGGACAGUAUAAGCCCUCAAAACCCCCAGCUGAAGAGGGAUUUGGAUUACUGAAGCUUGGCAGAGAACAUGCAGAAGUAACCAGGAUGGGAACUUCAACUGUGUGUCCAAAGCCUCAUACAGGAGGUGCUGCACCACUUCAAGGCAGCUCCUGUGAACCUGACUGAAGACCCAGCAACAGACUUCUGUUAAUUCCAUACUACUUCUCCCCUCUACAUGUGCCUCCUCUGAGACCCAAAGCUGCCUACUUAGAAAAAAACAUGGCUUCAAGGAUGCUUUAGUUCAGUUUUGGAAGUAGGUUUAGCCAAACAGCUUGUAACUUCAGUGCAGUUUUGCAGGGCAUACAUACUUUGAGGAAGUGGAAAGCACCAGCAAUGCAGCACAGCCAGAGCCAUGUGGUGCUGCCUAGAGAACAGCGGGCCCACUAGGACACAUGGGCAAGGAGGGAAAUCUUUGGGCAAUGUACAAGGCAUGGAAUCAGUCAAAACACUGAAAAAAAUUCAGAAAAAUCAAACCUCUGCUUCCAAGUUAGCCUGGGCUGAUCAAAUCACUUGCUGUCACAUUCCUGAUUUUUUGUUUUUGUCCACUGCAGAUUGUGGCCCUGCACUUUCUCUAUGCCAGCACUGGUUUUCCUCCAACCUUGCACUGAGCCAUUUCAGUUUGCUGAGCUGCAGGUAGUGAGUCACCACACCAGCUAGGGAGAAGGUAUUGUGUGCUCAGCUCUGGCCUUCCCACCAGACAGCCUGCCUUUGGAUCAGCAUAGGUGGCUCCACAGCCAUCCCUCAGGCCCUGUGAAAAGCUUCCCAGGGCUCUUCUAAUACCAACAUUCUCCUUUACCUUGAGAUAAUUGUUUUUUUCUCCUGAUCUCUCAGAAUAAGAGUCCAAAGACAAAGGUCCCUUUUUGAAAUCUGGUAACUCAGAUUUUACAUGGAUGGAUCACUGGAAAAAGUGCUGUACUAGAAACCUCUUUCUUGAAAUCCCUCUAGAAGCAACCCAGCAGCCUAGAUUUGAUGGAUAUUUAAUUCCAUGAAAGGCUAUCAGCCAAUCACUCACAGCAUACAUAGUCCUCUCCAAAUUCCUCAGAAUUAAAAGUUCUCUCUUUAAUACUUCAAGGAACCUCUUUCAUCCUUCAGCCUCUCUGAAACACACCAGAAAGAAGGUCAGAUUUCAUAAACUGUUGGCAUUUUUACUGAAGAUAUUCCACUCUCCCUUCACACAUUGAACACAUCCUUCUUUCUCUCUUCCAUACAAGCACUUAGUUCACAUAGGAAGAGCAACUGACCCAAUUAUCAAUUUCCUCUUGCUGUUGAUUUUUGCUUAAAAGAGGAGGUAACAACAUGCAAAAGCUCUCCUGUGGGCAAAUACUUCAGAUGCUGCUUAGAUAAGAUCUGUAUUAGGAGUUCUCAAGAGUCUUCCCUUGAGAGGAGCUUUAUCUCUCCCUGACAUAGUUUGUGGAGUAAAGAGGAAUGUUUCUAGAUGGGAGUCUAACCAGAAAAAUGUGAACCUGAAACCAGGUAUUUAAGUUACUGGCUGGGAUCAUCAGGGAAAAACUGAAAUAUCCCAAUGCCUGCUUCUUCAACAAUCCUGUAAUGAGAAACAAAAUGAUGACAGAAAGCUGCACAAGCCAAAAGCACAAGAAUUGCAAUUUUUGUCAGGUUCCGGGAAUGAGAUGUGACUGUUCAGAGCCUGAGCAGCUCCCACAGCUUAAACACCCGUCUCCUUGAAGAAGUGCAUUAGUGCCUUGCAGUGACAUUCAUCAUAAGGCACUGUGGAACUCAAAGAAUACUUUACCCAAAGCACUCCUAUGCAGUCAUCCUAAGCCCAGAAAUAAAAUCAAUUUGCUUUAA